rnacentral:rRNA from 1 species
CCCUUGGAUGUUCUGGGCCGCACGCGCGCUACACUGAUGCAUUCAACGAGUCUAAAACCUGCUCUGAUAGGGGUGGGUAAUCUUUUGAAUGUGCAUCGUGAUUGGGAUAGAUGAUUGCAAUUUUUCAUCUUCAACGAGGAAUGCCUAGUAAACGCAAGUCAUCAGCUUGCAUUGAUUACGUCCCUGCCCUUUGUACACACCGCCCGUCGCUCCUACCGAUUGAAUGAUCCGAUGAAUAUCAUGGAUUGAGGAUGCAAGUAGGUUCGCCUAUCUUCAUCUUCGAGAAGUGAAGUAAAUCUUAUCAUUUAGAGGAAGGAGAAGUCGUAACA